rnacentral:rRNA from 1 species
AGAGUUUGAUCAUGGCUCAGGACGAACGCUGGCGGCGUGCUUAACACAUGCAAGUCGAACGGAAAGGCCCUUCGGGGUACUCGAGUGGCGAACGGGUGAGUAACACGUGGGUGAUCUGCCCUGCACUUUGGGAUAAGCCUGGGAAACUGGGUCUAAUACCGAAUAGGACCACGCGCUUCAUGGUGUGUGGUGGAAAGCUUUUGCGGUGUGGGAUGGGCCCGCGGCCUAUCAGCUUGUUGGUGGGGUAAUGGCCUACCAAGGCGACGACGGGUAGCCGGCCUGAGAGGGUGACCGGCCACACUGGGACUGAGAUACGGCCCAGACUCCUACGGGAGGCAGCAGUGGGGAAUAUUGCACAAUGGGCGCAAGCCUGAUGCAGCGACGCAGCGUGAGGGAUGACGGCCUUCGGGUUGUAAACCUCUUUCAAUAGGGACGAAGCGCAAGUGACGGUACCUAUAGAAGAAGCACCGGCCAACUACGUGCCAGCAGCCGCGGUAAUACGUAGGGUGCGAGCGUUGUCCGGAAUUACUGGGCGUAAAGAGCUCGUAGGUGGUUUGUCGCGUUGUUCGUGAAAACUCACAGCUUAACUGUGGGCGUGCGGGCGAUACGGGCAGACUAGAGUACUGCAGGGGAGACUGGAAUUCCUGGUGUAGCGGUGGAAUGCGCAGAUAUCAGGAGGAACACCGGUGGCGAAGGCGGGUCUCUGGGCAGUAACUGACGCUGAGGAGCGAAAGCGUGGGGAGCGAACAGGAUUAGAUACCCUGGUAGUCCAA